AGGACUGGUCAAUAAACAAAACAGCAAAAUCCUGCCUUGGAACAUGUAUUUAAUGAAAAAAGAAAACUAGUACAAGAGGGGCAAGUUUUUCACUAACGUCACAAGGGUCUCUGGUCCAAUGAGUGGAGUUUGAUAGUAAUCCUUGCUACAAGU
rnacentral:snoRNA from 1 species